CCUACGGUGGCUGCAGUGGGGAAUAUUGGACAAUGGGCGAAAGCCUGAUCCAGCCAUGCCGCGUGUAUGAAGAAGGCCUUCGGGUUGUAAAGCACUUUCAGUGGGGAAGAAAGCCUUGGGGCUAAUACCCUCGAGGAAGGACAUCACCCACAGAAGAAGCACCGGCUAACUCCGUGCCAGCAGCCGCGGUAAUACGGAGGGUGCGAGCGUUAAUCGGAAUUACUGGGCGUAAAGCGCGCGUAGGCGGUCUGAUAAGCCGGUUGUGAAAGCCCCGGGCUCAACCUGGGAACGGCAUCCGGAACUGUCAGGCUAGAGUGCAGGAGAGGAAGGUAGAAUUCCCGGUGUAGCAGUGAAAUGCGUAGAGAUCGGGAGGAAUACCAGUGGCGAAGGCGGCCUUCUGGACUGACACUGACGCUGAGGUGCGAAAGCGUGGGUAGCAAACAGGAUUAGAUACCCGUGUAGUC
rnacentral:rRNA from 1 species